GGAACAAUGGUUUCCGUCAGCCACAAUGGUGGUCAUGACGAUAGACGGAAUAUGGAAAUGUAUGUCAUUUUUGUUUUGUUAUUAAAAGUUAAUAGAUGACGUUAUUACGAAAACAUUGUAACUGUAAGAGCUUUCCUAGGAUAUGUUUGAUGUUUAUAUAUUGUACGUUGUGUGGAAAAUGUCCAAAUCAAUCAGGACUCCUGGACAUGGGAGGAGAUUCUGAACGGUAAGGGACCCUGGGCACAGGCUGGAGAAUAUCGCCGCCCCAAGGCUGAGCUGGAGGCAGCGUAAUCCGAGAGGCGGUGGUAUGAGGAGGCAGCCCCAAAAAUGACGUGGCGAAGUCAGGUAGGAGACCUGCGCCAACUCCCCGUGCUUACCGUGGAGAGAGGCACCGUGUUAUGCCGUGAGGCGCACAGUCAUAGCCCGGUGCGGUACAUAGCAGAGCCUCGUAUCGGCCGGGCUAGAGUGGGCAUCGAGCCAGGUGCCAUGAAGCCGACUCAGUCUCCUCGGGCCGGGGACAUGGCACCAGCCUUACGCAUGGUGUCCCCGGUUCGCCAGCACAGCCCAGUGCGGACUAUUCCACCUCGCCACACUGGCCUGGCUACGGGGAGCAUUCAGCCAGGUAGGGUUGGGCAGGCUCGGUGCUCGAGACCUGCAGUGCGCUUCCACGGUCCGGUCUAUCCGGUGCCGCCUCCAUGCACCAGCCCUCCGGUGGCAGCCCCCCGCACCAGGCUGUCUCUCCGUCUCCUCCCUAUAGGUGCUCCCGCCUGUCCAGUGCUGCCAGUGUCUUCCUCAUGCCCAGCGCUGCCAGAGUCUCCCGUCUGUCCUGAGCUGCCAGAGUCUCCACUCUGGCAGCUCCUGACUGACAGGAGGGAGACUCUGGCAGCUCCUGACUGACAGGAGGGAGACUCUGGCAGCUCCUGACUGACAGGAGGGAGACUAUGGUCAGGGCGUGAGUUGGUCAGGGCGUGAGUAUGGUCAGGGCGUGAGUUGGUCAGGGUGUGAGUAUGGUCAGGGCGUGAGUUGGGUGGGUUGUCUAUGUUCGUUUUUCUAUGUUGUGUUUUGAGUUUGGCCUGGUAUGGUUCUCAAUCAGAGGCAGGUGUCGUUAGUUGUCUCUGAUUGAGAAUCAUACUUAGGUAGCC
ensembl:lncRNA